ensembl:lncRNA
UGCGGGCCGGUCCGUGGCCUCCAGCGCCCGGUAGUUGCCUUCCUCGAAGUGCGCUGGGGGAGUGGCACGCGGUCAACCCUUGGCCCCAAAACGGGGGGAGCCGACACAGAGGCACCGGCCUCACGGAAGGGCGACGGGGAGACGCGUGGCAGCGCGGGGAAGAAAGCCGCCGCGGGGGAGGCAGCCGAGGGUCGCUGCUAACGUCCCAGUCCCAGCGUACCUGGCCGGGGACCAAAGAUCCAGGAUGAUUUUGCACACUAUUUCCUAUGACUUACAAUUUUUAGAAUCUGAACAGGGCAGGCAGUACAAGGUGUAGG